CCCUUAGAUGUCCUGGGCCGCACGCGCGCUACACUGAUGCAUGCAACGGGUUUAUAACCUUGGCCUGAAAGGUCUGGGUAAUCUUUUGAACGUGCAUCGUGAUAGGGAUAGAUUAUUGCAAUUGUUAAUCUUGAACGAGGAAUUCCUAGUAAACGCGAGUCAUCAGCUCGCAUUGAUUACGUCCCUGCCCUUUGUACACACCGCCCGUCGCACCUACCGAUUGAAUGGUUCGGUGAAGAUCUCGGACUUCGAUAUUUAUUCUUUAUUGAGUUUAUAUUGUGGGAAGUUAUCUAAACCUCAUCAUUUAGAGGAAGGUGAAGUCGUAACA
rnacentral:rRNA from 1 species